GCCGGGCGUGGUGGCUCACACCUGUAAUCCCAGCACUUUGGGAGGCUGAGGCGGGUGGAUCACCUGAGGUCGGGAGUUUGAGACCAGCCUGACCAACAUGGAGAAACCCCGUCUCUA
ensembl:misc_RNA Metazoa_SRP Metazoan signal recognition particle RNA